CCUACGGGCGGCAGCAGUGAGGAAUAUUGGUCAAUGGGCGGAAGCCUGAACCAGCCAAGUCGCGUGAGGGAAUAAGGCCCUACGGGUCGUAAACCUCUUUUGCCGGGGAGCAAGGGCGGGGACGUGUCCCGGCCCGGAGAGUACCCGGAGAAAAAGCAUCGGCUAACUCCGUGCCAGCAGCCGCGGUAAUACGGAGGAUGCGAGCGUUAUCCGGAUUUAUUGGGUUUAAAGGGUGCGUAGGCGGGCUUUUACGUCAGCGGUAAAAAUUCGGGGCUCAACCCCGUCCGGCCGUUGAAACUGGGGGCGUUGAGUGGGCGAGAAGAAGGCGGAAUGCGUGGUGUAGCGGUGAAAGGCUUAGAUAUCACGCAGAACCCCGAUUGCGAAGGCAGCCUGCCAAGCCAUGACUGACGCUGAUGCACGAAAGCGUGGGGAUCAAACAGGAUUAGAUACCCUAGUAGUC
rnacentral:rRNA from 1 species